rfam:Bombyx mori DNA, contig: Bm_scaf5_contig4478, strain: p50T/Dazao, build 2, whole genome shotgun sequence.
UUAACUAAAAUUUGUGUGGAGUUGGAAGGUUUGCCUCUGUUUGCCACUAGGGGUGCUGUUCCGACUGCAUACAAAUUUGAGUUA